GAAGGUGGCAAGCGUUAUUCGGAUUUACUGGGCGUACAGGGAGCGUAGGCGGUUUGGUAAGCCCUCUGUGAAAUCUUCAGGCUUAACCUGGAAAAGUCGGAGGGAACUGCUGGGCUAGAGGACGGGAGAGGAGCGCGGAAUUCCCGGUGUAGCGGUGAAAUGCGUAGAGAUCGGGAGGAAGGCCGGUGGCGAAGGCGGCGCUCUGGAACGUUUCUGACGCUGAGGCUCGAAAGCGUGGGGAGCAAACAGGAUUAGAUACCCUGGUAGUCCACGCCUUAAACUAUGAAUACUAAGUGUCGGCGGUUUACCGCCGGUGCCGCAGCUAACGCAUUAAGUAUUCCGCCUGGGAAGUACGGCCGCAAGGUUG
rnacentral:rRNA from 1 species